rnacentral:rRNA from 1 species
GACGAACGCUGGCGGCGUGCCUAAUACAUGCAAGUCGAGCGGACUUUAUCCUUCGGGGUAAGGUUAGCGGCGGACGGGUGAGUAACACGUAGGCAACCUGCCUGUAAGACCGGGAUAACAUUCGGAAACGGAUGCUAAUACCGGAUAUGCAACUUGGCUGCAUGGCUGAGUUGGGAAAGACGGCGCAAGCUGUCACUUACAGAUGGGCCUGCGGUGCAUUAGCUAGUUGGUGAGGUAACGGCUCACCAAGGCGACGAUGCAUAGCCGACCUGAGAGGGUGAUCGGCCACAAUGGGACUGAGACACGGCCCAGACUCCUACGGGAGGCAGCAGUAGGGAAUCUUCCGCAAUGGACGAAAGUCUGACGGAGCAACGCCGCGUGAGUGAUGAAGGUUUUCGGAUCGUAAAGCUCUGUUGCCAGGGAAGAACAGCCAGGAGAGUAACUGCUCUUGGAAUGACGGUACCUGAGAAGAAAGCCCCGGCUAACUACGUGCCAGCAGCCGCGGUAA